rnacentral:tRNA from 1 species
GGUCGCGUGGCUCAAUCGGCAGAGCAUCGUGCUAAUAACGCGAGGGUUGUGAGUUCGAGUCUCACCGUGACCA